rnacentral:rRNA from 1 species
GACGAACGCUGGCGGCAUGCCUAACACAUGCAAGUCGAACGAGACCUUCGGGGUCUAGUGGCGCACGGGUGCGUAACGCGUGGGAAUCUGCCCCUUGGUUCGGAAUAACAGUUAGAGAUGACUGCUAAUACCGGAUGAUGACGAAAGUCCAAAGAUUUAUCGCCGAGGGAUGAGCCCGCGUAGGAUUAGCUAGUUGGUGAGGUAAAGGCUCACCAAGGCGACGAUCCUUAGCUGGUCUGAGAGGAUGAUCAGCCACACUGGGACUGAGACACGGCCCAGACUCCUACGGGAGGCAGCAGUGGGGAAUAUUGGACAAUGGGCGAAAGCCUGAUCCAGCAAUGCCGCGUGAGUGAUGAAGGCCUUAGGGUCGUAAAGCUCUUUUACCAGGGAUGAUAAUGACAGUACCUGGAGAAUAAGCUCCGGCUAACUCCGUG